rnacentral:rRNA from 1 species
CCUACGGGCGGCAGCAGUGAGGAAUAUUGGUCAAUGGGCGCGAGCCUGAACCAGCCAAGUCGCGUGAGGGAGGACGGCCCUACGGGUUGUAAACCUCUUUUGCCGGGGAGCAACGGGCGUCACGUGUGGCGCCACUGAGAGUACCCGGAGAAAAAGCAUCGGUUAAAUCCGGGCCAGCAGCCGCGGUAAUACGGAGGAUGCGAGCGUUAUCCGGAUUUAUUGGGUUUAAAGGGUGCGUAGGCGGAUCGUAAAGUCAGUGGUCAAAUUGAGGGGAUCAACCCCUUCCCGCCAUUGAAACUGGCGUUCUUGAGUGGAAGAGAAGUAUGCGGAAUGCGUGGUGUAGCGGUGAAAUGCAUAGAUAUCACGCAGAACCCCGAUUGCGAAGGCAGCAUGCCGGCUUCCGACUGACGCUGAAGCACGAAAGCGUGGGGAUCGAACAGGAUUAGAUACCCUUGUAGUC